rnacentral:rRNA from 1 species
GUUAGGAAUAUUGGACAAUGGGCGCAAGCCUGAUCCAGCCAUGCCGCGUGAGUGAUGAAGGCCUUCGGGUUGUAAAGCUCUUUAGCCGAUGAUUAUAAUGACUGUAGUCGGAAAAUAAGCCCCGGCUAACUUCGUGCCAGCAGCCGCGGUAAUACGAAGGGGGCGAGCGUUAUUCGGAAUCACUGGGCGUAAAGCGUGCGUAGGCGGCUUUGCAAGUUGGGAGUGAGAGCCCAGGGCUCAACCCUGGAAGUGCUCUCAAAACUGCAAGGCUCGAAUUCGGGAGAGGAUAGCGGAAUUGUCAGUGUAGCAGUGAAAUGCGUAGAUAUUGACAGGAACACCAGUGGCGUAAGCGGCUAUCUGGACCGGUAUUGACGCUGAGGCACGAAAGCGUGGGGAUCAAACAGGAUUAGAUACCCGUGUAGUCC